CGGGCUUAUUUUUACUUGAAGCAAGGAGGCUGUUGCCUCCUUGACUUCAAGCUCACUCUGAAGAUAGCAAGAGGGGUGAUUAAAACUGCAUUUACAGCAUACAGUAUGCAGCAACCGAUGGAAGAAUGAAAAACAUCAUUGUGAACACACUGGGGGCUACUUUAAGGUGCACUUCCAGAUUCUUUAAUCCCACCAGAACAGCUUGGAUGCUACGUGACUUCUGUUCCAAUAAAGCCAUCGUCAUAAUGGAGGCAGGAUAAUUCUUCCAUCAUGUUGUCACAUGAAAAACAUCAGACAACUCAAGAACUGGAAGCAUUAGAGGAAUCUGAAUCUUAUUCAUUAGAGAGACUAUUAGAGAACAACAAUGAGCACCAGAACUGGGGGUGGCCAGUGGGCCGAGCUCCAAGGUAAUUGGUCAAGAGGACUUCCUCCUGUGGCGUUGUUAUGAGGGAUGAACUGGAAAAUCAUCUAUAUCAGCGGACGUAUUAGGCAGAUGCAUCAAAGUGUCAUACAAAAGGGUCCCCAUCAGCAAAUAAAUUGACGCAGACAUAUUUA